AGUGAACGCUGGCGGUAGGCCUAACACAUGCAAGUCGAACGGCAGCACAGUAAGAGCUUGCUCUUACGGGUGGCGAGUGGCGGACGGGUGAGGAAUACAUCGGAAUCUACUUUUUCGUGGGGGAUAACGUAGGGAAACUUACGCUAAUACCGCAUACGACCUACGGGUGAAAGCAGGGGAUCUUCGGACCUUGCGCGAUUGAAUGAGCCGAUGUCGGAUUAGCUAGUUGGCGGGGUAAAGGCCCACCAAGGCGACGAUCCGUAGCUGGUCUGAGAGGAUGAUCAGCCACACGGGAACUGAGACACGGUCCAGACUCCUACGGGAGGCACCAGUGGGGAAGAUUGGACAAUGGGCGCAAGCCUGAUCCAGCCAUACCGCGUGGGUGAAGAAGGCCUUCGGGUUGUAAAGCCCUUUUGUUGGGAAAGAAAAGCAGCAGGUUAAUACCCCGCUGUUCUGACGGUACCAAAAGAAUAAGCACCGGCUAACUUCGUG
rnacentral:rRNA from 1 species